AUUGAACGCUGGCGGCAGGCUUAACACAUGCAAGUCGAGCGAGAGGCGGACGGGUGAGUAAUGUCUGGGACACUGCCUGAUGGAGGGGGAUAACAACCGGAAACGGUAGCUAAUACCGCACACCAUCAGCUGUGUCCAGAUGGGUUUAGCUAGUUGGUGGGGUAAUGGCUCACCUAGGCGACGAUCCGUAGCUGGUGUGAGAGGAUGAACAGGCACACUGGAACUGAGACACGGUCCAGAUUCCUACGGGAGGCAGCAGUGGGGAAGAUUGCACAAUGGGCGCAAGCCUGAUGCAGACAUGCCGCGUGUGGGAAGAAGGCCUUCGGGUUGUAAAGCACUUUCAGCGGGGAGGCGUUACUAGCAGAAGAAGCACCGGCUAACUCCGUGCCAGCAGCCGCGGUAAUUC
rnacentral:rRNA from 1 species